rnacentral:lncRNA from 1 species
UUAUUUCUAUGAAAUUUGAGAAUUUUUAGAAAUAAUUAAUUUUUCCGGCAAGUCGGGGCGGUUGACCGCUGUGCGGCGACGCGUGGGCCGAGGAACCCCCUGACCUUCCUAGGCUAAGUUUGAUACAUUAAUUCCAUAGGUGAAGUCCGAUUGAUGAAAUCAUCGUUUGAACAUAGUUUUGAUAGAGAUCGCCACUUGAUC